GGGAUGCAACAUUAUGUGAUGUUGUAAAGAUAUAGACAGAAAAGCUACAAGGUUGUUCUGCUGGAUGUUUUCUUAAAAAGAAACAAAAAACUCGACAGUCUCUGACUAACAUUAACACACCUGAAGCUGAGUGUAUAUUGAAGAAUUAGAAUGGCAGACAGAUACUCCUGGUGGAAAAACUUGAGUGGAAAAAACAAGAAGCAUUUUAAAGAAGGCCAGCACGAAUCUGGAAAUGCGGACAAGACGUCAGUGAAACAGAGCGGCAGCGAGAACAAGAACGGAAGUCUGAUCAGCGGCGAGACGUACGACGACUCUCGGCUGGAGCCUGGCUUCAGUGAACACACGUGCCGGAGGAACUGGACAGUGUCACGGUCUGGCCGUUUUAAGGAGAAAAGAGUGCGGGUCACCAUGCCCGAAAACAACUUUUAUGACAAAAACAUUGCGGCAGCAAAGUAACUAGCCAGUUAUUUUUUUCUGUUUGUAGCCUACUAAAUGAACCUGUUUACACUGCGAGCACGCGACGCGUCUUCUGGAAUUGUGGAUGGAAUCUUGAGAAGUUCGUCUUGUUGCUGGAGCGACGUUCGCUUGUGGUGUAGAGAGGAUGUUAAUGAAGAAAACCCUCAUUCGGUGGAGGCGUGGAGCCAUUGACUCAAUAACACCUGUUACAUUCUACAGUAACCUGGGUUUUGUCUCUGCUGAAGGACGCUGAACGCUUCAUAUGCAUUUUUCAUUUAGGCGUAUUUGCAAAAAGAAAGACAUAGCCUACUGUAGGUAUACUCUAUAGAUGUAAGUAGUUAUUAUUGUUUGUCUGUUUGUAGUCUUUUAUUUAUUAUUCACAAAGGGGAGUUUUAAAGGAAACCUUUUUUUAUUGAAGGAUAUCCAGAAGAUAUGAUGUAAAUGUUUACCCUUUCUGUAUGAGGAUAGAUUUGGUUUGAUUAACAGUAGCCUACUAAAUGUUGCCCCACUGAGAAGUUAUUCGUUUGGAUGUUUUAUCCAAGGUGAUUUGAGACGGAUAUGAAACGGAUCUACUGGUGCGAAAUGAAAUAGAACUGUGAAUUUAACUUACGUAACUUACGUUUAUGUAACUGUGCCAUAGUGAAAGAAUGGAAUGCUGUUAAGCAUGACUCUUGAGUAAAUGCUGUUGUUUGCAAAUAACUUUACACACCACGCUAGUUAUCUGCAUUAGGUGUGAUGAUGACUAUGCCAUCUGUCAAUGAAAGGCCACUUGACUGCA